rnacentral:rRNA from 1 species
UACGUAGGGUGCGAGCGUUAAUCGGAAUUACUGGGCGUAAAGCGUGCGCAGGCGGUGAUGUAAGACAGGUGUGAAAUCCCCGGGCUUAACCUGGGAACUGCAUUUGUGACUGCAUCGCUGGAGUGCGGCAGAGGGGGAUGGAAUUCCGCGUGUAGCAGUGAAAUGCGUAGAUAUGCGGAGGAACACCGAUGGCGAAGGCAAUCCCCUGGGCC